rnacentral:snRNA from 1 species
UCCGGAAAGAAGCUACACGAU